rnacentral:rRNA from 1 species
GUCUUAUUGAAGUAUUAAUAGUAGGUUUGUUCUGCCCAUUGAAAAUUUUUUAAAGGCUGCAGUAAUUUGACUGUACAAAGGUAGCAUAAUCAAUAGUUUUUUAAUUGAAAACUUGUAUGAAUGAAUUAAUAAAAUAUUGAUUGUCUCAAAUUUAAGUAUUGAAAUUAAAUUAAAAGUUAAAAUUCUUUUAUUUUUUUAUUAGACGAUAAGACCCUAAGAAUUUUAUUGUUUAUAUUUUUAUUAAUAUUAUUAUUAAGUUAAUAAUUUAAUUUAAAUAAUUUUAUUGGGAGGGUAAUUAAAAAUUUGAACUUUAAUUUAUUAAAUACUUUGAUAAUAGAAUUAAAUGAUUAUUAUUAUAGUUGUAAGAAUUAAUUACCUUAGGGAUAACAGCGUAAUAAUUUUGGAAAGUUCAUAUUUAUAAAAUUGUUUGCGACCUCGAUGUUGAAUUAAAAUAAAAAUUAAAUGGAGAUAUUUAAAUUUUUAGUCUGUUCGACUAUUAAAAUUUUACA